rnacentral:rRNA from 1 species
UACGAAGGGGGCUAGCGUUGUUCGGAAUUACUGGGCGUAAAGCGCGCGCAGGCGGUCUUCCAAGUCAGUGGUGAAAGCCCGGAGCUCAACUCCGGAACUGCCAUUGAAACUGUAAGACUUGAGGAUGAGAGAGGUGAGUGGAAUUCCCAGUGUAGAGGUGAAAUGCGCAGAUAUCAGGAAGAACACCCGUGGCGAAGGCGGCUCUCUGGGACGGUACUGACGCUGAGACGCGAAAGCGUGGGGAGCAAACAGG